GACGAACGCUGGCGGCGUGCCUAAUACAUGCAAGUCGAGCGGAGGUUGGAGAGCUUGCUCUUCAACUUUAGCGGCGGACGGGUGAGUAACACGUGGGCAACCUGCCCUGCGGAUCGGGAUAACUCCGGGAAACCGGUGCUAAUACCGAAUAGUUUUCGCCACCUCCUGGUGGCGUACGGAAAGACGGUUUCGGCUGUCACUGCAGGAUGGGCCCGCGGCGCAUUAGCUAGUUGGUGGGGUAACGGCCCACCAAGGCAACGAUGCGUAGCCGACCUGAGGGGGGGAUCGGCCACACUGGGACUGAGACACGGCCCAGACUCCUACGGGAGGCAGCAGUAGGGAAUCUUCCGCAAUGGACGAAAGUCUGACGGAGCAACGCCGCGUGAGUGACGAAGGUUUUCGGAUCGUAAAACUCUGUUGUGAGGGAAGAACAAGUACCAACUAACUACUGGUACCUUGACGGUACCUCACCAGAAAGCCACGGCUAACUACGUGCCAGCCGCCGCAGUAAAAC
rnacentral:rRNA from 1 species